UACGGGGGGUGCAAGCGUUGUUCGGAAUCAUUGGGCGUAAAGCGCGCGCAGGCGGCUUGGUCAGUCAGAUGUGAAAGCCCUGGGCUUAACCCAGGAAGUGCAUUUGAUACUGCCUCGCUAGAGUACGGGAGAGGAAAGUGGAAUUCCUGGUGUAGAGGUGAAAUUCGUAGAUAUCAGGAGGAACACCGGUGGCGAAGGCGACUUUCUGGUCCGAUACUGACGCCCAGGCGCGAAAGCGUGGGGAGCAAACAGG
rnacentral:rRNA from 1 species